rnacentral:rRNA from 1 species
AAUGAGGGAAACCUUGAUGCAGCCAUGCCGCGUGUGUGAAGAAGGCCCGAGGGUUGUGAAGCACUUUCAAUUGUGAGGAAAGGUUAGUCGCUAACAUCGGCUAGCUGUGACGUUAACUUUAGAAGAAGCACCGGCUAACUCUAUGCCAGCAGCCGCGGUAAUACAGAGGGUGCAAGCGUUAUUCGGAAUUACUGGGCGUAAAGCGCGCGUAGGCGGACUGUUAAGUCGGUUGUGAAAGCCCUGGGCUCAACCUAGGAACUGCAUCCGAUACUGGCAAUCUAGAGUUUAGGAGAGGGAAGUGGAAUUCCUGGUGUAGCAGUGAAAUGCGUAGAUAUCAGGAGGAACAUCAGUGGCGAAGGCGACUUCCUGGCCUAAAACUGACGCUGAGGUGCGAAAGCGUGGGUAGCGAACGGGAUU